UACGGAGGAUGCAAGCGUUAUCCGGAAUGAUUGGGCGUAAAGCGUCCGCAGGUGGCUAUGUAAGUCUGCUGUUAAAGAGUCUGGCUCAACCAGAUAAAGGCAGUGGAAACUACAUGGCUAGAGUGCGUUCGGGGCAGAGGGAAUUCCUGGUGUAGCGGUGAAAUGCGUAGAUAUCAUUUGGAACGCCAAUGGUGAAAACAGGUUGCUGGGGGUGUGCUGACGCUGAGACACGAGAGCCAGGGGAGCGAACGGG
rnacentral:rRNA from 1 species